rnacentral:rRNA from 1 species
AUUGAACGCUGGCGGCAGGCCUAACACAUGCAAGUCGAACGCGUGGCGGACGGGUGAGUAAUGUCUGGGAAACUGCCUGAUGGAGGGGGAUAACUACUGGAAACGGUAGCUAAUACCGCAUACCAUCGGAUGUGCCCAGAUGGGAUUAGCUAGUAGGUGGGGUAAAGGCUACCCUAGGCGACGAUCCCUAGCUGGUCUGAGAGGAUGGCCGGCCACCCUGGAACGUGGACACGGUCCAGACUCCGACGGGAGGCAGGAGUGGGGAAUAUUGCACAAUGGGCGCAAGCCUGAUGCAUCCAUGCCGCGUGUAUGAAGAAGGCCUUCGGGGUGUAAAGUACGUUUAGCGGGGAGGCGUUACCCGCAGAAGAAGCACCGGCUAACUCCGUGCCAGCAGCCGCGGUAAUAC